rnacentral:Y_RNA from 1 species
GGUUGCUCCCAAUGUAGUGGUGUUUACAACUAAUUGAUCACAACCAGUUACAGAUUCCUUUGUUCCUUCUCCACUCCCACUGUUGCACUUCACUAGCCUAAA